rnacentral:rRNA from 1 species
AGGAUGAACGCUAGCGGCAGGCUUAACACAUGCAAGUCGAGGGGUAUAGUAGCAAUACUAGAGACCGGCAAACGGGUGCGGAACACGUACAGAACCUACCUUGAUCUGGGGCAUAGCCCGAAGAAAUUCGGAUUAACUCCCCAUAAUAUAGAUGAGUGGCAUCACUUGACUAUUAAAAAUUUAUUGGAUCGAGAUGGCUGUGCGUCCCAUUAGCUAGUUGGUAGGGUAACGGCCUACCAAGGCGACGAUGGGUAGCUGGUGUGAGAGCACGACCAGCCACACGGGCACUGAGACACGGGCCCGACUCCUACGGGAGGCAGCAGUGAGGAAUAUUGGUCAAUGGACGCAAGUCUGAACCAGCCAUGCCGCGUGAAGGAUGAAGGCCUUCUGGGUUGUAAACUUCUUUUACCUGGGAAGAAACCCCGAUUUUCUAAUCGGGUUGACGGUACCAGAGGAAUAAGCACCGGCUAACUCCGUGCCAGCAGCCGC